rnacentral:rRNA from 1 species
UUGUGGAGAUGGAAAGGACAGCUCAAGAUGAAUCUGGGCCCGGCCGAGUUGUAAUUUGGAGAAGGUGCUUCGGGUGCGACUACGGUCCAAGUCCCUUGGAACAGGGCGUCCCAGAGGGUGAGAAUCCCGUUGACGGCCGAGCGUCAAACCCGUGCGAAGCCCUUUCGACGAGUCGAGUUGUUUGGGAAUGCAGCUCUAAGUGGGUGGUAAAUUUCAUCUAAAGCUAAAUAUCUGCUCGAGACCGAUAGCGCACAAGUAGAGUGAUCGAAAGAUGAAAAGCACUUUGAAAAGAGAGUCAAACAGUACGUGAAAUUGUUGAAAGGGAAGGGCUUGCAACCAGACUCGCACGCGGGGGUUCAGCCGUCCUCCGGGGUGGUGUACUCUCCCGCGAUCGGGCCAGCAUCGAUUUCGGCGGUCAGACAAAGGCCCCGGGAACGUAACUCCCCUCGGGGAGCGUUAUAGCCCGGGGUGCAAUGCGGCCCGCUGGGAUCGAGGACAGCGCAUUUCGCUAGGAUGCUGGCGUAAUGGUUGCCAGCCGCCCGUCUUGAAACACGGACCAAGGAGUCGACCAACCGCGCGAGUGUUUGGGUUUCAAACCCAUGCGCGCAAUGAAAGUGAAUGGAGGUGGGAGCCCCCGGGCGCACCAUCGACCGAUCCUGAUGUCCUCGGAUGGAUUUGAGUAUGAGCCCGGCUGGUCGGACCCGAAAGAUGGUGAACUAUGCGUGAAUAGGGUGAAGCCAGAGGAAACUCUGGUGGAGGCUCGCAGCGGUUCUGACGUGCAAAUCGAUCGUCAAAUUUGCGCAUAGGGGCGAAAGACUAAUCGAACCGUCUAGUUGCUGGUUCCCGUCGAAGUUUCCCUCAGGAUAGCAGCAGCGGGAACAGUCUCAUGAGGUAGAGCAAACGAUUAGAGGCCUUGGGGUUGAAACAACCUUAACCUAUUCUCGAACUCCGAAUAUGUGAGAAGUCCUUGUUACUUGGUUGAACGUGGACAUUUGGAUGUGCCGCUGCUAGUUCGCCAUUUUGUACAGAACCUGGCGAAUGAAACACGGACCAAGGAGUCGACCAACCGCGCGAGUGUUUGGGUUUCAAACCCAUGCGCGCAAUGAAAGUGAAUGGAGG